UCAUACACAUAAAAUGUUAAUGAGCUGAGGCUCUGUGCCCACUGUGAACUACCCAUGGGCUGGAUCUGCUAUGGAACACUCUGAAGACUGCUGGGUAGAAUGUCAGAAUUCAAGUGAUCUCAAAGCCCUAUUGUGACCAAAUGGCUUUUGGUAUGAAUAGGGAUGUUCACACUCAGGCCUGUAACCACAGACAAAGUAGCUAGCCCACCAUCCCUAGAGGAUUUUCUAGUCUUUUUUGCAAACAAGCAUCAUCAUAGGCUUGUUUUCUCCUGGACUGAGCCUGCGGAUCCCAUGAGCGGGAGUGCAAUGGAACAAUCUCGGCUCACCACAACCUCUGCAUCCCUGGUUCAAGUGACUCUCCUGUCUCAGCCUCCUGAGUAGCAAGAAUUACAAUCCUGGAGGCUGAGAUGUUCAAGAUCAAGGCAGAUUUGGUGUCUGGGGAGGACCCACUUCCUAGUUCAUAGACGGCCAUCUUCUUGCUGAGACCUCACAAGGUGGAAGGGGAAAGAAGAUUUAGGGAGGGGUGGAUCCCCCUUCUGUCUUCAUUCAGCUUCAAAUGGAAGAAGAAAAGCAGGAAGUAUAUAGCUACUGUAGAAGGUCUACAAGAGGUAAUGCUGAGAAAGGCUAAUCAAUCAAGGUGGGUAUGAAAAGCUUAGGGGUAAAACUCAUAAAAACGUGAAGUGCGGGAGGACACCUUUUCUCUAGCUGCUAAAAUAUGAUAUUUCCUGACUCUUUUGGUACUUCACAGACAAGCUAAUAUAAACUAUAGAUCUCAUUUUUACUCAUUUCUCCCCACUUUCCUUCUCUUCCUUUCUGCUCCAAUUUAACCAAUCUAACAACCUCUAAAUACAGAACAGAAAAAUAUGGCUUCUGAUUUACUUUAAAGUGAUGACCAGAUGAAUACAUAAUCACAGCUUUCAAUACAGCUUCAACUGGAAGACUUUUUCACGUGACCCAGGGAAAGGCACAAAGAAACAAACGUUGAGAUGCUCUCAAAUAACAAAUUCACUUGGCCAAGGCCAUGCACAGAGUGGAAAGCUUUUUGCCCCAUUUUUUCCCCUCCCGUUCAGAUCUUGUUUUAUAAAAGCAAGUGCUAAUAAACUGUGGCAUUAAUGAGAGAACACUAAUUCAGACUUCAUUCUGGUCACCUGUUACUUGGGGCCACUGUGUGUGCCAUAAGAACUAAAAUCCCAGUUGUCUUAGUUAUCUAUUGUUGCACUAACGAAUCAUCCCAAAGCCUAGUGGACUAAGAAAUACAUAUUAUAACACACUAAAUUUCUGUGGGUCAGGAAUUUGGAAGCACAUAACAAGGAGGUCUGGCUCAGGAUCUCUUGUGAAGUUGCAGUCAAAUGCUGACAAGGGCCACAGCAAAUGAUGCCUGACUGUGGCUGGAGGAUCUGAUUCCAAGAUGGUGCAUUCACAUGGCUGUUGGCAAGAUGCCUCAAUUAGUUACAGAGUGGAUCUGUCCAUAGCUGCCCAAGAGUCCUCAUGUCAUGGCAGCUGGUUUCUCCCAAAAUGAGUGCUCCAAGCAAGAGCGUGAAAGAGAACUUGUAGAAAUCCACAAUAACUUUUAUAACCCGGUCUUUAAAGUCACACACUGUCAUGUCUGCUUUACACUAUUUGUUAGAAACAAAUCCUGAAUUCCAGCCCACAGUCAAGCAGAGGAGAAUUCGUCUCCAACUCUUAAAGGGAAGAAUAGCAAAUAAUACGUGGACAUAUCUUAAAAUUAUUCUACAGGUUGAAUAGAAUUUUUAAUUGGUGCAGUUGAUAGUGAGAUCUCAAUCAGUGCCAUACAUUGAAGAAAAAGAAGAAGAAGAAAAGAAAGAAAAAUAAAAAGAAACGCAUAAUUUUGUUCAGGCUUUUUAUUCUGCCCCACGAACUUCCAUCUCAAGUCCCAUCCCCAGACCUUAUUCCAUAGCUCACUUUUCCGUAACUCCAGUUGUUGAUCUGUCAUUAAUAAUCUCAACAACAUUCCAAAUCUGUUAGAAAAAGAAAAAAAAAAGGCAGAGGCUCAGGUACCCAUGAAGCCUGGAGUUAUAAGAAAGCCAAAAAUCUGUGAAUUCAGAGGACAGGGAUAUGGAAAGAGUGGGGAAGUUCUCCACAGAUGGGGCUCUUCUAUCUGAUGCCUCCCAGAGUUCUGGGAGGUGUUGCUAAGGCCUCCCAGAGGAUUCUCUUGGCUCCUUCUAAUGCCAGGGCAGGCAGCUCAGCUCUCCCGUGUGUGUUCAGCCUAGCGGACUUCUCACUCAUUCCUCUGCAGCUCCUCUGGGCUUCCUGGGCCCAAUGCUUGCAGACUCUGUUCGGAAGUAAUCAUGGUACUAAAUCACUCUCUACUUAUUAUCAUCCAGGGUCUGUCCAUGGACAGCUUUAUCUCACACCAGGAAGUCUCUUAUGAUCAGCCUUUCACCGACAUCCUUUCAUGCUUGCAAAGGGCAAGAAAAGUGGCUUCAGGGACUACCAGCUCAUAGGGAGCAGUCAGUCCUAAUGGUCUUAUCACUCGGCUACCUGUUCCUCCUUCCCAAAGGGAGCACCAGUUAGUGUAUCUGAGCCAGAGAGUCUGGCUGAACCAACCUAUUACUGUUUUAUAUAAAGCACUUACAGAAUUCCUCGAGGGGAGAGGAGUCUCCAAGGGGAACUUGUCUCAUUAAACUGCUGCCUGCUUUCCAAGCAGUCAGAGAAGCUCUGAGUAGGGAGAUGCAACCUUUGGGAGGCUUGGUUGUUAAUGCACUGACCUCUGGGCACAUGGACAGCAUAAUGGGGGAAUCACUUAAGAGGAGAAAAUGGGAAAUGUGCUUUUUUCCUUUGCCCCAUUUAAUCGGGUUAAAGAAGAAAUAGUGACAUUGGGUUAUAAAAAUGUGUUCAGCAUAGAUGCUUCUAGGUUCCUGUACCUAAAAACUCUUUAUGAUUUGUUCUAUUCUUUAUUUUUUUCUGGAAAAUUCUUCUCUAUCUCUGUUCUAUAUUAUUCUUUACUUAGCCCUAGAUAGAUUUUUUUUUAAAAAUGGCUUCUGAAGAUGUGGUCUUUUAAAAGCUUGGAGAAGAAAGACCAGAAUUUUUUUUAAAAGGCCUCUGGCCACAGUGUCUUUCAACUUUGAUUUAUAGGAACCAUUCAAAGGAAAGGUACUCUCUGGAAAAUAGCUUUUUUUUUUUUUUUCUAAGAAAGCAUUGCAGAAAACAAGCCAGCUCCCAGAUUGACAGGAUGCUUUCUGCAGAGGACUUCGAGAUUGCAUUUGCAAAGGUUUCCAGAGCAGGUUGAUGAAUCUGGAGAUGAUGUAUUUUGGGUGCCAAAUAAUUAGGGAGUUCACUCGACUGGCAGCGUUCAGUCUCAGAAACAGGAGAUGGAAGCCUUCAGUGCAGCAGAUGAUAUGUCAGGGUAUGACUUCUGAAUACCAUCCUGCCCGACCAUAGGGCUGGCAAGUUUCUACUUCUCUCCUAUCCAAGCUGCUUAGCCCAGAGAGAAAGAGCUCAGUUUGCCUCUUUCUUAGAUGGGGAUUUUUAACAAGUGCUUACACAUGUACACUAGGUGGCAUGAGUCAGGGGUGGAGCGGGGUAGUAGUGGUAGUGUGUCAUGCACCUGCGGCACACCACCUUCCAAUAUUAGAGAACAUCUGGAUAUCUACAGUGACCUCAGAGAGGGUAAGGUGCACUUGGCAAAACUGCUCUACUGACAAUCCUUUCCCAGGAUAGAAUUUCUUCCUUUGGUGACAGUGUGUAGAGCCCCGGUCAUUAGAGCAGUAAGAAAAUAUUCUGAUCCUCCUUCUUUAGGAGUUUUGGUAGAACGAUUUUCCCCACCUCCUUUGAAAUAAGGUGUGGCCAUCUGACUCUGACUUGCUUUGCUCACUAUAAUGUGGGUAGAAAUAAUUAUGUCACUAUUGUGUUGAAGCUUUAAGAGUUAUUACAUAAUUCACAAUUCUUUUACCUGUCAAGGUGAUUGGCAUUGGUCUUGAUGGUUGCUGCUGUCAAAGGGGAGAUGACUUGUAUCAGAGGCCCUGCCAACCUGUGAUGGACAUGUAGGGAGAGUGAGAAAUAAGCUCUUAUUGUUAUAAGCCACUAAAAUAAUUGGCUUAUUUGUUACUACAGCGCAGCUUGUUCUGUCUUUUCUGAUUCUCACAACCCCCUCUGGGAAGACAGAGACUUUUAGUUGCCAAUGAAAGUGCAUUUUGUGGAAAUAAUCUAUGUGUAUAGGAACAUCUCUCCACAUGAGGGUUUGAAAAGGUCUCAUCUCUUGUCCAGGGAAGUAUGGAUUAUCUAGGCCCCAGGAAGGAACCAAGUUUUAUACAAUUUAGCUUUAUACGAUUGUGCCAGAAAAGGAUAGGGAAUUAACCACUUUUUUCAACUACUUCAUUAAAAUAUAUGAUUAAAUGAAUCUGUCUUUCUUCCUAAGUUUGUGUGCAAUCUGUAACUUCUACAAUAUAGCAUAUGUGCUAUUCCCCCUCUUUAUCUGAAUACAUUUCAUCCCUUGAAUAGGAUUGGGGUAGAAAAUUAUGAGCUAGUCCUACUUAAACAGCAAGAAAUCUGGCAGCAUUCCUGUCUAGAGCAUACUUAUUUUCUUAAUGAACACUCACAUCUAUCAUCUUCAGAAAGGAAUUUGAAAUAGAUCUACUUUAGGACCAUCAAGAAUAAACAAUGUGUUUUAGACAGUGGCUUAUCACAAUUUUAUUUUCAUUCAGCGGGUAGUGGGAAGUACUGUGUGUGAACAGUCUGUAUAGUAAAAUUUGGUAUACAUGAGCUAUGGUUAUAAUAACUUUACAAACAGAGAAAACUGUUGGAUAUGUAUGGAGUUGUCAGCCUGAGUACCCCAGACAGAGCUUAAGGAAGAGUUUGAAUGCCAUUGCUUCUUUGGGAGCUACAAGUCCAGGGCGUAAAGAGUUAAUCAAGGGAAGGUGACAUAGUCAAAGGUGGUGGUUUCUGAGCCAGCCAUAGCUAUACACACAGACACGCACACACACACACACACACACACACUUGCUUGGAGGCUCUGGAGGUGACACGAGGAACCACUGCACCUCAGAACUACCUGCCAGUGGGAGGAUGGGAGCAAAGUUUUCCUGCUGGCUUCUUUCUGUCUCCUACCUCUUACUUCUCAGGAAUGUCACUGAGUGGUAAUUCCACCCCCCUCACCUUUAUUGCCAACCUUUGUUAGCCUGUCUGGGAGAAAACUAAUCCCCAGCUCCGUGGCCUGGUUUCCUUCAUUUCCCCAAAAUAAGUGGGUCCCAGGCUUUCACGGAUUCAGUAAGCUCUGUAUAGGAUGCCUGAGCUGCUGCCAGUGGUGAUAGAAAAUGGGGAGACAGCAGCCAGGGCUCUCCAUCAAGCACAUUCCAAGACCUAGGGACAAGUAGGGCAGAAUGAUCUGGGGAAGUGUUAACACAUAACCUGAUCCCAACACAGGUACUUGGUUUCGAAUUGUGAGAGGUAUAUGUCUACAUGGAAGAGAUAAUUGUAGUCUUUGAAAUUUUAUUAUAUAUGGGCAAUUAAAUGCUUGUAAUUAUAGAUGGAUGCCAAUCUGUUUUGGAGAGCUAUAGAGAUUUUCAGAGAAAAAGAGCUUGAAUAAGCCUUAAGUUUAAGACCAAGAGUUUACAGGCUGUGUGAACUAAUACCUUGACUAUCCAGAUUGUUGGAAGUCACGAGGCCCAGUUAGCCUGCUGAAAACUUUGAAAGAGCUUGAGAUCUGAAUUAAUUCUGCAACAGAGUGAUCAGUAAGUCCUUUACAGCAACCUUUUCAAAGCCAAAGUGCUAGAGAUGACACUCCUCACACUGCAACAAGUAGGAUUGUCAACAUUCAGCAUACACAAACACACAAACAAAACCAAGCUAUUAAGUUACUGAUCACUGAAAUAGUUGCAAUAGUAAAUUAUGCCUAAUUGGUCCCAGAAAUCAUCCAAAUAUCUGAACUGUGGGUAUCAUAUAUACCAAUGAAUCUGACUUACUAGAACGCUUUCCAAGAUGCAAGAUGACCUGGGGGGAAUAAAAGGAGGUAUGUUUCAGUAUGUUCGGAAAUGCUACGCGCAAUGCCUAAUCUUGGAACACUUCAGCAGCAUCCAAGGUCCCAAGAUGGCUCAUUGUAAAGAAGCCUGCUUACAGCAGCAUUUCUCAAACUUAGAUCAUGGUAAACCAUUCCUUUUUCUAUAACAAUUAUCCCCCUUCCUUGAAAACUUCCUGUGCACUGAGAAACACUGAGGCAAACUCUAGACCAUUUUGAAAGGCAGUGUGAUGUGGUAGGAAUUCAGGCAGCUGAGAGCCUAAACAGAAUACUCUGGGCUUGCUUUUUUUUUUUUUUUUUUGAGACAGCGUCUCACUCUGUCACCAGGCUGAAGUGCAGUGGCACGAUCUCAGCUCACUGCAACCUCUGCUUCCUGGGUUCAAGUGAAUCUCCUGCCUCAGUCUCCCAAGUAGCUGGGACUACAAGCGCGCACCACCACGCCCAGCUAAUUUGUGUAUUUUCAGUAGAGACAGGGUUUCACCAUGUUGGCCAGACUCAAACUCCUGACCUUGUGAUCCGCUCGCCUUGGCCUCCCAAAGUGCUGGGAUUACAGGUGUGAGCCACCAUGUCUAGGCCUGCUUUGACAUUAACUGUAGGUCAUGUAAACAUCAAGUCAUACAACCACACUCUGCCUCAGUUUCCUCAUGUUCCAAAUACAAAUGAUAGUAUGUUGUAAGACUGCGAGAAGGACCGGAGGAAGGAGCAGACAUGAAAGCAUUUCAAAAGUUAAAAGGAGAGGAAGAGCAAGUGAAGUCUCCACUCUUCAAGUGAACAGUGUGGUCUAUGAUUGAUUCAGUGAGCACUUUCAUUUUCACAAAUGAGUCCUGCACUGACUGCGCAGGUUUUGUCUUUUUCAACAGAUGCUGACAUCGUUUUAUGAAUGCAAACAGUCAAGGAGAGCAGAUGUUGAGUGGUUGCCAGAGUGAAAUGAGGAAGCCCUGCUGCCAGCUUCCCACCAAAAAGCAGGCUCCAGCCCUGAACGCCGCAGAAUUGCUAAAGAAGUUGCUAACGGAGGCUGGAGAGAGUCCGCAAGCUAAUAGCUUCCUUCAAAAUGGAAUAGGAAACAGAAAGCAUGGUGAAAUGGAGAUUUUUCUUACUGAGCUUUGCAUUCAUAGAUUUUGACUGGGUUUCCUCACCCAAGAAGCCUCCCCAGAAAAAACUCUCUUGCUCUUCCUCCCUACACCGUAAUUUUAAGAACAAUAAUGUAUCGACAUUCCACAGAUACCUGCCUAUUACACAGCUAAAUCCACUGAUUGGAUCAUCAUGUCCGUUCAGUCACAGGUUCUCAAACUUGUCUGUGUACUUGAAUCACCUGGGGAGUUUUUUGUUUAGAAACAAAGUCUCACUCUGUCACCCACCCUGGAGUGCAGUCAUAGCUCACUAUAACCUCGAACUCCUGGACUUAAGCGAUUCACCUGCCUCAGCCUCUCAAAUAGCUAGGACUGCAGGCAUGCACCAUCAUGCUGGAUUAUUAUUUUUUGUAAAUGUGUGGUCUUACUAUGAUGCCCUAGCUGGUCUUGAAUUCCUGGCUUCAAGUGGUCCUCCCACCUGGGCCUCGCAAAGUGGUGGGAUUAUUUUUACAGGCAUGAGCCACCACUCCUGGCUCAUCUGAGGAGUUUUAGAAAUCACUGAUGUCUUGGUCCCACCCAGAAAAAUUCUGAUGUAAUUUAUGUGGACUGCAUCCUGGACAAUGACAUUUUAAAAUUCCCAAAGUGAUUCUCAUGUGCAGCCAAGUUUGAGAACCAAUACUGUAAGCCACUGGUUCUUAAAGUGUGGUCAUUGGACUAGUGUCCGCAUCAACUGGGAACUUGUUAGAAAGGCAGACUUUCUGGCCCCACCCCAGACAAACUGAUGCAGAAACCCUGGGGAUGAGCCCAACAAUCUGUGGUGUGGCAAGCCCUCCAGGUGACUCUGAUACAUGCUAAUAUUUGAGAGCAAUUGCCUUACAUAAAGCUUUGAGAACCCACAGUGUAUCGACACCAUUUGUGUAGCUGCUGUUCGUGUCUCAAAUUGAUGUCUUUCUCAGGAAGCAGAAAGAUAUGAUGGAAAGAUGAGGGGCUUUGGAGUCAGGCCAGACCUGGGUUUAAAUCCCAGCCCCAUCAUUUACAAGCUGUGUGAGCUUAGACAAACAUGUAAUUUAACCUGUAUGAGCUUCAGUCUCCUCAAUUCUGAAACAGUAGAAAUUUUAUCUAACCUGGAUUGUUGUUGUGAAAAUUAAAUGGGAUAAUAGCAUCUAAAAUGGACUCGUAGAGUACUAUAAAUCAGAUCUUAGUUCCCUGUCCUUCCUCCCCUCUAUUCCAAAUUUUAACAAGCAAUAGAGAGAAGUAAUGGGGCAUUUACAUAAGUUGGGCAUAUUCACUUUCUUGUCAGUUCCUAGAUGUUCUUUUCUAGCAUCGUCCGAUAGCAUCAUUUCUUUGCACUCGAAUCAGCAGCAUGCCAUAGGACUUUGGCAUCAGGUGAGUCUAAUGAACCAGGCACAGGACCAGGCUCUGGCUACUGGGCUACUGAAAGAGAGUCCAACUGUGGUCUCAUUACUCGACAAGGGCAAAAAGUAAGGUUGGGAUACUCAAAUCUGGCAAAUCCUUUUCCAGCAUCCACUGAGAGGAUAUAUAUUUAUUCUCAGAGGCAUGUCAAAUUUUUAGAAGUAGUUACCUACUUAAUUUAGAAAAUUGCUUACUUUAUUCGAAUAAUUCGCCUAUUGUGUGACUUGUUUAGAGACUUUGUAUUUUAACAUCAAGCAUUCGGUUUCUCACUACUCCUUAAGCAAAAGGUAUCCAAGUCCUCUCCGGGACAAGUCAGUAUAGUAGAAUACCUAAUAGCAGUACUAAGAAUUAAUAUCUGAAUAAGUCAUUGCUGCUUAAACCCAUAAACUUUUUAACUCCAUUUCAGUCUCACAGCAACUCAAAGAGGGAGGCAUAACUAUUAUCCCCACUUUACAGAUGAGAAAGCUGGAGCUUAGAGAGGUUAAGUGACUUGUCCAAGGUCACACAACUAGUAACUAGGGGAGCUGUCUCCCUGACCCCUUCCCAAGUCUUGUAUCCUAACUGCCAGGCUGCCAUAAUAAUGAUAAUGAAAUGAACAACAGUAACAAUAUAAAAGUACAGAGCACCUGAGAGAUGGAAUGAAUUGGCUACUAGAAGACACGCAUGAGUCUCAUUCAUGCAUAAACAGCUGGUUUCAGAAUGACUAUUCUUAUUAAUAAUUCUCUACUCUCCACUGCUAUUACUAUACUGCUCCCUCUACUAUUACUCCCUUGCCCUCACUGACCUCAGUAUUGUUAAUCCCUAGAAUAAUGAGAUGAUUUCCUGAGAAUUUCCUUAAAAAUGGAGAGAGUAGCGUGCAGUGAAAUUACCAGGUGUCCUAGCGCCGUGCUUGUUGUAAGAUGAGCAGCAGCAGAGUCACCAGGAGAGAUGCAGAUACUCAGGACUUGCCCCAGACCUCCUGAAUCAGAGUCUACCAUUGAACAAGCCGCUCUGCCCAGGUGACUGACCCACACAGUCUGCGGUUCCUGACAAGCUCCCAGUUUCAGAUCUACAAUUUAAGCACUUACAACCCAGGGGAAAAAAGAAUUCUAGGGUUGCUCAGCCCUAGUUUACGGCAUGAAGCAGGACUGUUGUGUGGAUGCCCCAGGGACCUCUACAAAAGCCUCGUAACUGGAGCUCAGGAAUACUUACUACCACUCCCUACUGGGACUGAAACACAAACUGUUUAAGUGAAGUAAGGUAGAUGGAACAGAAUAAAGGGGAUUAUUUUACAUCACUCUUUCAUAGUGUUCAUCUUUCCUUUUGCUAAGUAAGGUAUCAAUAGCUAGCUGAUGUUUAAUGUUUUUUUCACUAUGUAUGUGUGUGUGUAUAUAUGUAACAUGCCCAUCUCAGGCUUCACCAGCCAGUAAGCACAAAUUUCUAAGACCUAAAUCUCAUUAGCUUAUAUAUAACCCCAGGGUAACUGGACUUGUUCUGGCUUAUUAUUUAUUUUAAGAGACAGGCUCUUACUUUGUCCCCAGACUGGAGCGCAGUGGUACGAUAAUAGCUCACUGCAGCCUCAGCUCCUGGGCUCAAGUGGUCUUUCCACCUUGGCCUUUCAAACCACUUCUUGGCAAGAACCACUGUGACUGGCCUGCUUUUCAGUCUUGUACUCAGUAUUUCCUGGAGACUCUGAAACCUUGCCCUGAUGUUUCUAGAAAGGGUCUGUUAGGUUUCUAGAAUAUGGCUCUACUCUCUACUACUGUUGCCUGAAUCCUGCAGGAAUGGAACAUUAGCUGUUCUUCAUGUCAAUGAAACUGGAAGCCUACCUCAAGCCCUGAUGCCAGAGAUCCUAAGCACCACUCCUGCAAAGUCAGAAGAAGAGGGUGGAAGGCAGGAUUUCCUGCAGAAAUGCAGCUUGAGCCUCAAAAUAGUACAGCAAUUAGUGAUCCAGAUCUUUCUUUCCCUCUAUGUGGUAGAUCUGAGCCGGGAUCACUAGGCCAUAGACAAGCAGUUCCUCACAGUUCUGAGAGUGGAAAUCUGCUCACAUCACUGUGACAGUGACUAUCUCUUCAUUAGCUGAGGUUUAAAGUAGUGUGCCAGACAUGCCUAGGGCAAUACUUUUGAAGAAAAAGGGGGAAAAUUGUUUCAUUUUCAGUUUGGAAAGGAAGGAAGAACAAGAUUACAUGAAUAGCUCUCAUGUAUUUAGAGAUAUAUAAUUCUUUCAAGGUACAUGUAUGCAUGCACACAUGAACACACACUGCCACUGUAACUGGAUGCAGCAGAUCAGAGAUGGCGGCAAAUUCUUUCACACGCUUCUUAUGGAGAGGUGAGGGCUAUUUGCCCUUCCCAUGAAUCUAGGCUGGCCUGUGAGUGUUUCACCAAUAGAGUAUAGUGCAAGUGAAUCCGUGUCAGAUGUGAGCCUAGCCUUUAAGAGGACUGGUAGCCACUGCCUUGGCUUCUUUGGGCACUGUGCCUGACUAGCAUCCUGCAUGAGAAACUGUGGAGAGGCUCUGAGCCUACAUGGAGAGGAAGAGGACUGAGAAAUGUGGAGUAAAGCCUGUGGACCCUCCAGCCCAGCUCAGUCACCAGUUGGAUACAAGGGACCCCAGUCAACUCCACUUGAUGCAAAGAAAUCAGCCAAUUCUUGACCCAUAUAAAAUGAUCCUUGUUUUAACUUAUCAAGUUUGGGAAUACCCUACCAUGCAACAUUAGAUUCCUGGAGCCUUAGUUAAGUAGAAAUAUUAUGGGGUCCUCCAGGCUGUGUUAAGAACUUCCAUCCCCCCCCACUUUGUUUUUUGAGACAGAGUCUCUCUCUGUCACCAGGCACCAGGCUGGAGUGCAGUGGCAUGAUCUUGGCUCACUGCAACCUCUGCCUCCCGGGUUCAAGAAAUUCUCCUGUCUCAGCCUCCAGAGUAGCUGGGACUACAGAUGUAUACCACCACACCCAGCUAAUUUUUGUAUAUUUAGUAGAGACGGGGUUUCAUCAUGUUGGCCGGGAUAGUCUCGAUCUCAUGACCUAGCGAUCUGCCUGCCUCAGCUUCCCAAAGUGUUGGGAUUACAGGCAUGAGCCACUGCACCUGGCCCCCAUCCUCUUUUAAGAGCAGUUCUGCAUCUGAUCCUUCUCUCCAGACUCUUUACACUGGGUGCAGAUCUGUGGAGACCUUGAGAACAACCAGCCUCAUUAGAUGAGUUUCAAGUUUUCCCCUACUAGAUUCGAUUACUACAUGCAAAGGGGUACACUCAAAAUAUGGAGCUCCAUUCUCUGCCCAGCCAGGACACCCUGGUACAUGUACUUUGCCAGUUGCCAUGAUUGCUAUUUUAACCUUUUUAAAGUUUUAAAGUUUUAAAAAAGGUUAGAAGAUGAGGUGUGAGCAGGAGAAAAAAGUACAUCUUUUCAAAGUUUUUCUUAGAAUUUGAGGGGAAGGAAUUAUUCAAGGAUGGGAAGUGCGAGAGUAAUUAUAUUACUUUAGUUCCUUUGUUCUUUGUAUCAUUAUGUUUUGUCUUCCCCAAAGCUCACAUCCUAAACCCUGUGCUGCAUUUCAGAAUAAAUCCCGAAGUUCUCAAUUAUUAGUAUCUGUUAGAACUGUUUUCUCCUCAUUUUCUCUUUCUCUUUCCUGCUAAAAUUAGCGUUCCUACCAGGGCUCUGUAGUUAACUUAGUCCACCGUUCGAGCUCUGAGUCAGACAACAAGAACGCCUUUUCUGUCUGGCUCCCAGGGUGUCUGCAUUGAUG